rnacentral:rRNA from 1 species
GACGAACGCUGGCGGCGUGCCUAAUACAUGCAAGUCGAGCGGACGAAUCGAAAGCUUGCUUUUGAUUCGUUAGCGGCGGACGGGUGAGUAACACGUGGGCAACCUGCCCUGUAGACGGGGAUAACACCGAGAAAUCGGUGCCAAUACCGGAUAACACGAAAUGUCGCAUGACGUUUCGUUGAAAGACGGCGCAAGCUGUCGCUACAGGAUGGGCCCGCGGCGCAUUAGCUAGUUGGUGAGGUAACGGCUCACCAAGGCGACGAUGCGUAGCCGACCUGAGAGGGUGAUCGGCCACACUGGGACUGAGACACGGCCCAGACUCCUACGGGAGGCAGCAGUAAGGAAUCUUCCGCAAUGGACGAAAGUCUGACGGAGCAACGCCGCGUGAGCGAAGAAGGCCUUCGGGUCGUAAAGCUCUGUUGUUAGGGAAGAACAAGUAACGCAGUAACUGGCGUUACCGUGACGGUACCUAACGAGAAAGCCACGGCUAACUACGUG